UCGAUGCUACAAUGCCCCAAGGACGUUCCUUGGCAACUUGUUGAUUAGUGUUUGAUUAGCGAACGUUUCCUAAUUAAACUAGAACUAAGGAGGAAUUUGGUUGUGAGAAGCGUCUUCCAUAACCUAAACUAAUUUAUUGAAAUCAAAUAGGAGUCUUUAAUAAUCAAUGAUCAAUUCUGAACAAACUGAUUUAGACUCACACUUCAGCUAGAAUCUCUUUCUCAUCGAAAUUCAUUUUCAAUUAAAUUAUUGUUCUCUUUUGCUUUUAGGUUUUAAACUCAUCAAAACAAACCCCCCUCUUUUAUUUACUUGUUAUUU
rnacentral:lncRNA from 1 species